UGGGGAAUAUUGCACAAUGGGCGCAAGCCUGAUGCAGCCAUGCCGCGUGUGUGAAGAAGGCCUUCGGGUUGUAAAGCACUUUCAGCGGGGAGGAAGGCGAUAAGGUUAAUAACCUCAUCGAUUGACGUUACCCGCAGAAGAAGCACCGGCUAACUCCGUGCCAGCAGCCGCGGUAAUACGGAGGGUGCAAGCGUUAAUCGGAAUUACUGGGCGUAAAGCGCACGCAGGCGGUCUGUCAAGUCGGAUGUGAAAUCCCCGGGCUCAACCUGGGAACUGCAUUCGAAACUGGCAGGCUAGAGUCUUGUAGAGGGAGGUAGAAUUCCAGGUGUAGCGGUGAAAUGCGUAGAGAUCUGGAGGAAUACCGGUGGCGAAGGCGGCCCCCUGGACAAAGAAUGACGCUCAGGUGCGAAAGCGUGGGGAGCAAACAGG
rnacentral:rRNA from 1 species